ensembl:lncRNA
CUUUUUCUGAGGUGGCUGAAUCUAGAGUGUAUGAUGUUGGGAUUAAGGGUGUGAGAUUACUAGAUCAGUACACUGAUUGGUUUGGCAUCACCCUAAUUCUGAUAGUCUGGAUAAGAUGUUAUUUUCCCUUGUUGCUUUGCUACCUUCAGUCUGCCAUGAACUCUUGCCCCUCUGCCAUGUGCCACCCUGCCUUGAAGGCCGCCCAUUACCGACUGAAACCUCUACAAACUGUGAGCUAACCCUUUUAACUUUGGGUGGUGGGUAUUUUACUCAGCAACAAAAGCAAAGUAAAUAAGACAGCAAGUUACUGAUGAGUGAGGAAUCCAGCUGAGACCUUCUAAGACUACUCUCAAGAUUGGAUUCUCCAGUAACACAUUUGCCUGCAUCAAAAUGACUUUGCCGCUGGCUGCUGCCUGACCCAACCGCUGGCUGAGGGUUGGGAGUUUUCUGCGGACUCAUCCCCACAGAAAGAUGCUUGUUUUGCCCCUGGCUGGCCACUGUCCCUCCAGUGCAGCCCGUCGGCCAGCGGCAACUCAGAUCACCAGCAGCCUGUAAUACAGCAGCAACCAGAUGAAAAAUAGACCCAGAGAAUAUUGGUGUGGCAGAGCUUUCCAAAGCAGCUUUUCUGGCAGAAAUCCAGGUGAGGCAGGGCCCCGCAUGGAACAUGGAAUGAAGAACAUGCCUUGUUUGCUCCCUCUCACAGAUGAGGCAGGGCCCAGCAGGAGGAGAACAGGUGACAAGAGGGUGGUGGAGCAAGGCCUGGUCAAGAAGAGGACUGUCUUCCUUCCCUCCCAUUCUCCAGAAAACUAUCAAGCAUGGGGUCCUGUGGGCCUUAGCUACUCUCUUGGCUCCAGUUACAGACAAGGUCCUUUUACCUCACCCUACACUUCCCUUAUCUCUACCAAUAUAAAUAAACAUGCUGCAUUUGCCUGGGGUCUUCUUCUCCCAUCAGGAGUUAGAGCCCCAGCUGGCCCCCCACCUUUGUUUCUCUUUGUUCUUUUGUAACUUUCUUUCUUUACCUUUUCUCAAUCUCCCACCGUCAUUUCACUAGUGGACCCUUCAGCCACACAGGCCAUGGCAGGUGGACAGUCCUGUGAGUCUUGAUACACAUCUAGUUUUAUGUAGUCCACAUCACAGAACCCAGAGCAGUUCCGACACCCUGAAAUUCUCCCACAUACUUUGUAGUCAGGCCUUCAUCACACCCAGCCCCUGGCAAAUACUGAUCUCUUCUCUGCUUCUGUGAAUUUGCUUUCUCCAUGGUGUUAUGUAAACUUCAUGAUGCAUAGUGUGACCUCAUAAGACUGACACUUUCUCUGGGCAAAAUGUCUUUGAGAUUUAUCCAUGUUGCUGCUUUUUGCUGGUUUGUUUGCAUCCACCUGACAAAGGAUAUUUGGAUUCUAGUUUUGUUGACUGUAAUAAAGCUGCUAUAAACUUUAAUGUGAAAAAGCUGCUCUAAAUGUAAGAGUCAUAUUAAAACAAAGGUAAUGUAUACUCCUUGAAACUUAUUGUUUCCUAGGGGCCAGGGAUUUAGCUCAGUGGUUCUGGUGCCUGCCUUGUAAGCACAAGGACUGGAGUUCAAUCUCCGGUACCAAAAAAAAAAAAAAAAAAAAGAAACUUAUAGUUGACUACAUUUUACUUGUAUCUGU